UACGUAGGUGGCAAGCGUUGUCCGGAAUCAUUGGGCGUAAAGAGCGUGUAGGCGGUCCGGUAAGUCCGCUGUGAAAGUCGGGGGGCUCAACCCUCGAAUGCCGGUGGAUACUGUCGGGCUAGAGUGCGGAAGAGGCGAGUGGAAUUCCUGGUGUAGCGGUGAAAUGCGCAGAUAUCAGGAGGAACACCUAUUGCGAAGGCAGCUCGCUGGGACGUAACUGACGCUGAGACGCGAAAAGCGUGGGGGAGCAAACAGG
rnacentral:rRNA from 1 species